ACAGUUUUUAUAAUAAUGUAUUAAAUUCUAUAGCAUAUUUGUUGGGCAUACUUUAAUAAGCACUGAAAAUACAAAAAUGAAUUAGAUCUUGCACUCAAAAGAAUCAAGAAUGUAUUGACUCAAUUGAACCUAAGAAUAAAUUGGUUAAUUUCUAUUUUCUUUCAUCCUAAUAUCCUUAAAUAUAUUUUAUUUAGUGGUAGAAGAUGAUGAAGAUGACUUUCCUACAACGCGUUCUGAUGGAGACUUCUUGCAUAAUACCAAUGGCAAUAAGGAAAAAUUUUCAUCAUGGCUCUCUACUUUUUCCUUAUAACCUAGCUCCCUCCCAAUUUUACAAAAUACUAGCUUAUUACAAAGUUUUCUUAUAACUUUGGACUACAUUGUUGAACCUUAUUGAAUCAUGUAGAUUUAUGUAUUUUUAUGGAAUUAAACGUUUAAUUUGGGAUGGUUUUUUCCCAAUUGCAUUUUAAUUUCACAAUGAAUCUGUUUAAAUAGAAAAAUAUUUUGUUUGCAUAUUGGAAAAAUUAUUGAAAGAAGUUGUAAAACUCAACAGAUCUAGUCUUCCAUUCCACAUAGUAUACUCAACUACCACACCUACAUUUUGCAAAGGAGAAUGGAAGCUUAUUUCCUGUAGAAAUUGAACUGAAGAGUUAGAUUCAGGAAUACCUGGCACAGCAAAAGAUAGGUAUAUCAGUCUAUCAAUAAAGUGAUUAAGUGGAAA